AUGGAUGGAUGGAUGGAUGGAUCCAUGGAUGGAUGGAUCUUCCCCACCCUGAUCCUGAUUCCCUGGGAUCUGCUCUGCUGCUCCAUCCCCUCUCCAGAGGGGACAUCCCGGUCACCUCCUGUCCUGAUUCCUGUGGUGGCCCCCAGGGCCAGCAGGGAUGCUCCCAUUCCCAUCACAGGGACAAUGAUCUCCUUCUGGGAUCUGCACAACUUCUCUGGGACAGGGAACACUUCCAGCUCUCCAGAAGAAAGAACCCUUUCUUCAUCAAGGGUUUAAGUUAGGAGCCAACUUCUCAUUCAGAAAUAAAAAGGGAAGGGCCAGACCCAAAACUCCAGCACCACACCCCAAAUUCCAGCACCACACCCCAGAUUCCAGAGUCAGAUCCAAAAUUCCAGCACCAAACCUCAAAUUCCAGCAGUCUCAGGAGCCGAGCUCAGCCCCAAAUAUGUAAAUUUGUCCUGUUCCUACAACAUUCCAAGCCAACUCCACAUCCAUGUCCUGGAGAUGAAUCCAGGCUCCAUCUCAGUUCCAGGGACCUCCCUGGCACCCAGCCCUGGGACAGCUGACAGGAACACCAGGAAUUCGGGAUACGAGGACAUCGCUCUGCUUCCCUGAUCCGGGGGCUGCUCCCAUUCUCCCUGAGGUGACACCGCAACUGGAGGCACAAAACCAGCGGGAAAAAGCUGGAAUUUCCAUCCAAACCCCGAAAUCCUGCUUGGAGAAACCCAACCCAACAGGACGCGCUGUCCCUGCUGCCAGCAUUGCCUUCCUGGAGGUGACAGAUCCCAAAUCCAGGUGUCACCAACAAUCCAGGAGGGAGAAGGGCAGAGCUGGGCAGUGUCACCCGGGGCCACCACAGCGCUCGCUCUGGCCGUGCCACCACCUUCUCCUGGCACAUCCCAAUGCCACCACCCACCCUGGCACAUCCCAAACCCUCUCCUCAUCUCCAGCAGAGCCGUGAGUGCCACCGGCGACGUCACCUCCUCGGCCCAGGCUUUCCUGCAGCAACCAAGAUUUCAGUUAAGCAAUAAAAAAAACCUUAUCAAGGAAAAAAAAAAAAAAAA